CCUAGAACAGGUGCUGCAUGGCUGUCGUCAGCUCGUGUCGUGAGAUGUUGGGUUAAGUCCCGCAACGAGCGCAACCCUCGCCCUUAGUUGCCAGCAUUUAGUUGGGCACUCUAAGGGGACUGCCGGUGAUAAGCCGAAAGGAAGGUGGGGAUGACGUCAAGUCCUCAUGGCCCUUACGGGCUGGGCUACACACGUGCUACAAUGGUGGUGACAGUGGGCAGCGAGACAGCGAUGUCGAGCUAAUCUCCAAAAGCCAUCUCAGUUCGGAUUGCACUCUGCAACUCGAGUGCAUGAAGUUGG
rnacentral:rRNA from 1 species